rnacentral:rRNA from 1 species
CACAUAGACCGGGUGGAGGGAACGUGGGGAAGUGAAACAUCUCAGUACCCACAGGAAGAGAAAACAAAAGUGAUUCCGUUAGUAGUGGCGAGCGAACGCGGAUGGGGCUAAACCGUAUGUGUGUGAUACCCGGCAGGGGUUGCAUGUGCGGUGUUGUGGGCCCCUCCUUGUCAUGUCUGCCGGCAUGGCGCAGUGAGGUGCGGGCAUAUAGACGAACCAGUGUGGAUGCUGGACCGUAGAGGGUGAGAGUCCCGUAGACGAAACUGUCAUCCGCCGCUGUUGGAGGGUUGCCCGAGUAGCACGGGGCCCGAGGAAUCCCGUGUGAAUCUGCCAGGACCACCUGGUAAGCCUGAAUACUACCUGUUGACCGAUAGCGGAUCAGUACCGUGAGGGAAUGGUGAAAAGUACCCCGGGAGGGGAGUGAAAUAGUACCUGAAACCAUGUGCCUACAAACCGUUGGAGCCUCCUUGUGGGGUGACAGCGUGCCUUUUGAAGAAUGAGCCUGCGAGUUAGUGAUACGUGGCGAGGUUAACCCGUGUGGGGAAGCCGUAGCGAAAGCGAGUCUGAAUAGGGCGAUUGAGUCGCGUGUCCUAGACCCGAAGCGGAGUGAUCUACCCAUGGCCAGGUUGAAGCGCGUGUAAGAGCGCGUGGAGGACCGAACCCACUUCNNUCUCCCCGAAAUGCAUUUAGGUGCAGCGUCACGUGUUUCUUCCCGGAGGUAGAGCUACUGGAUGGACGAUGGGCCCUACAAGGUUACUGACUUCAGCCAAACUCCGAAUGCCGGGAAGUGAGAGCGUGGCAGUGAGACUGUGGGGGAUAAGCUUCAUAGUCGAGAGGGAAACAGCCCAGACCACCGGUUAAGGCCCCUAAGCGUGUGCUAAGUGGGAAAGGAUGUGGAGUUGCUGAGACAACCAGG